UAACUGAAGAGUUUGAUCAUGGCUCAGAUUGAACGCUGGCGGCAGGCUUAACACAUGCAAGUCGAGCGGGGGAAGGUAGCUUGCUACCGGACCUAGCGGCGGACGGGUGAGUAAUGCUUAGGAAUCUGCCUAUUAGUGGGGGACAACAUCUCGAAAGGGAUGCUAAUACCGCAUACGUCCUACGGGAGAAAGCAGGGGAUCUUCGGACCUUGCGCUAAUAGAUGAGCCUAAGUCGGAUUAGCUAGUUGGUGGGGUAAAGGCCUACCAAGGCGACGAUCUGUAGCGGGUCUGAGAGGAUGAUCCGCCACACUGGGACUGAGACACGGCCCAGACUCCUACGGGAGGCAGCAGUGGGGAAUAUUGGACAAUGGGGGGAACCCUGAUCCAGCCAUGCCGCGUGUGUGAAGAAGGCCUUAUGGUUGUAAAGCACUUUAAGCGAGGAGGAGGCUACUCUAGUUAAUACCUAGAGAUAGUGGACGUUACUCGCAGAAUAAGCACCGGCUAACUCUGUGCCAGCAGCCGCGGUAAUACAGAGGGUGCGAGCGUUAAUCGGAUUUACUGGGCGUAAAGCGUGCGUAGGCGGCUUAUUAAGUCGGAUGUGAAAUCCCCGAGCUUAACUUGGGAAUUGCAUUCGAUACUGGUGAGCUAGAGUAUGGGAGAGGAUGGUAGAAUUCCAGGUGUAGCGGUGAAAUGCGUAGAGAUCUGGAGGAAUACCGAUGGCGAAGGCAGCCAUCUGGCCUAAUACUGACGCUGAGGUACGAAAGCAUGGGGAGCAAACAGGAUUAGAUACCCUGGUAGUCCAUGCCGUAAA
rnacentral:rRNA from 1 species